rnacentral:lncRNA from 1 species
UCUUCCUUCGAUUUCACCCUUUUGGAUGUUUGGCAACUCCCUUCAUUUGUCUCCUCAUGCAGAGUGAACGAAAUUGAUGGGCUAUUUUGGUUCCUAAGACAUUUGCAAAUAACAAAACUUCCUAGAAUGGAAUUCAACUUCGCUCCGCCUCUAUGGAAAAUUGGCGUCAACGAUGUCUCAACGCAUGCUUGCUUCUCAAGUUUGAUGAGCCUAAGAAAACGACUGCAUGAAGAGAGGGCCUUAAGCAGAGUUUUCUUGAAAUUCGUUUUGGAAGGUAGACAUAAAGGUUCGCUUGAAACAUUUCUAAAUUUGUUUUUUUUUU